GAUGAACGCUGGCGGCGUGCCUAAUACAUGCAAGUCGAGCGAACGGACGAGAAUCUUGCUUCUCUGAUGUUAGCGGCGGACGGGUGAGUAACACGUGGAUAACCUACCUAUAAGACUGGGAUAACUUCGGGAAACCGUAGCUAAUACCGGAUAAUAUUUUGAACCGCAUGGUUCAAAAGUGAAAGACGGUCUUGCUGUCACUUAUAGAUGGAUCCGCGCUGCAUUAGCUAGUUGGUAAGGUAACGGCUUACCAAGGCAACGAUGCAUAGCCGACCUGAGAGGGUGAUCGGCCACACUGGAACUGAGACACGGUCCAGACUCCUACGGGAGGCAGCAGUAGGGAAUCUUCCGCAAAGGGCGAAAGCCUGACGGAGCAACGCCGCGUGAGUGAUGAAGGUCUUCGGAUCGUAAAACUCUGUUAUUAGGGAAGAACAUAUGUGUAAGUAACUGUGCACAUCUUGACGGUACCUAAUCAGAAAGCCACGGCUAACUACGUG
rnacentral:rRNA from 1 species